CUAUAACGGUCCUAAGGUAGCGAAAUUCCUUGUCGGGUAAGUUCCGACCUGCACGAAUGGCGUAAUGAUGGCCAGGCUGUCUCCACCCGAGACUCAGUGAAAUUGAACUCGCUGUGAAGAUGCAGUGUACCCGCGGCAAGACGGAAAGACCCCGUGAACCUUUACUAUAGCUUGACACUGAACAUUGAGCCUUGAUGUGUAGGAUAGGUGGGAGGCUUUGAAGUGUGGACGCCAGUCUGCAUGGAGCCGRCCUUGAAAUACCACCCUUUAAUGUUUGAUGUUCUAACGUGGACCCGURAUCCGGGUUGCGGACAGUGUCUGGUGGGUAGUUUGACUGGGGCGGUCUCCUCCUAAAGAGUAACGGAGGAGCACGAAGGUUGGCUAAUCCUGGUCGGACAUCAGGAGGUUAGUGCAAUGGCAUAAGCCAGCUUGACUGCGAGCGUGACGGCGCGAGCAGGUGCGAAAGCAGGUCAUAGUGAUCCGGUGGUUCUGAAUGGAAGGGCCAUCGCUCAACGGAUAAAAGGUACUCCGGGGAUAACAGGCUGAUACCGCCCAAGAGUUCAUAUCGACGGCGGUGUUUGGCACCUCGAUGUCGGCUCAUCACAUCCUGGGGCUGAAGUAGGUCCCAAGGGUAUGGCUGUUCGCCAUUUAAAGUGGUACGCGAGCUGGGUUUAGAACGUCGUGAGACAGUUCGGUCCCUAUCUGCCGUGGGCGCUGGAGAACUGAGGGGGGCUGCUCCUAGUACGAGAGGACCGGAGUGGACGCAUCACUGGUGUUCGGGUUGUCAUGCCAAUGGCACUGCCCGGUAGCUAAAUGCGGAAGAGAUAAGUGCUGAAAGCAUCUAAGCACGAAACUUGCCCCGAGAUGAGUUCUCCCUGAGACUU
rnacentral:rRNA from 1 species